GACGAACGCUGGCGGCGUGCUUAACACAUGCAAGUCGAACGGAAAGGCCCUGCUUUUGUGGGGUGCUCGAGUGGCGAACGGGUGAGUAACACGUGAGUAACCUGCCCUUGACUUUGGGAUAACUUCAGGAAACUGGGGCUAAUACCGGAUAGGAGCUCCUGCUGCAUGGUGGGGGUUGGAAAGUUUCGGCGGUUGGGGAUGGACUCGCGGCUUAUCAGCUUGUUGGUGGGGUAGUGGCUUACCAAGGCUUUGACGGGUAGCCGGCCUGAGAGGGUGACCGGCCACAUUGGGACUGAGAGACGGCCCAGACGCCUACGGGAGGCAGCAGUGGAGAAUAUUGCACAAUGGGCGGAAGCCUGAUGCAGCAACGCCGCGUGCGGGAUGACGGCCUUCGGGUUGUAAACCGCUUUCGCCUGUGACGAAGCGUGAGUGACGGUAAUGGGUAAAGAAGCACCGGCUAACUACG
rnacentral:rRNA from 1 species